rnacentral:rRNA from 1 species
UACGGAGGGGGCUAGCGUUGCUCGGAAUUACUGGGCGUAAAGGGCGCGUAGGCGGCACUGUUAGUCAGGCGUGAAAGUCCUGGGCUCAACCUGGGAACUGCGCUUGAUACGGCAGAGCUAGAGGAUGGAAGAGGCUCGCGGAAUUCCCAGUGUAGAGGUGAAAUUCGUAGAUAUUGGGAAGAACACCGGUGGCGAAGGCGGCGAGCUGGUCCAUUACUGACGCUGAGGCGCGACAGCGUGGGGAGCAAACAGG